GAGAGCAAAUUCCUAAUGAUGAUGUGAUCCGGACAAACAAGGGUGCCAAGAGAAUAGAUUCCGGAAAGGAACGGGUCGGUAAUGAUGGAAAUGCAAACAAGGAAGGAAAGGUUGGUUUCUUUGUUUAUUUACAUGCUCUUUUGUUUUAAAGAAAAAUUUGUUGAAUGCCAUCAUAUGUACAGCAGGUCCCUGUGGAUACACAAAUUGCAAAUGUAGGGCCCCAAGGCGUCUUUCAGCAAAUGGUCUGUCUCUUCUCAUCCUAGUCAUACUUCUAAGUUAAACUUUAAAGGGAUAUAUAGCUUUAAUUAAUAGGACAUUCAUAGGAUUACUUGCAUAUACAAUCACCUAUUCUUUUUUUCACCUGAAAAAUUAAAGCUUCUAUUAUUAUUAUUAUUUUUUUUUUUUCAGGAGUUAAUUUAUUAACUUAAACCCCUCAAAAUCUUCUGACUCUAGCUUGAGUAGUGUUGGAUUUCCUUAUGGAUCCAACUGUGCCUAUUUCUGCCUGGAUCACAUUAUUAUUAUGCAUUUGUUCUCCUAUAAACAUAAAUUUCUUACACCUUCUACCGUCAGUUAGCCUCUUGCUAGGAGAACAUAAAUUUCAUAAAGUAUGCAAUUAAUUUAUGUUCAGUGUAGAUGCGUUUAUAUACUAACAGUGUUAUAGACGGAAAUGGGAAAGACAUAUAUUUCCCAUCAAUGUGUCUUUGCGCGGACUCUAUAGAUGCAUAUACACGCAUGUAUUCAUGUAGAUUUCUUGCUUGUGUCGUGCAUGAAGUUAAAUGGAAAAAUUGCACCAUUGGUCCCUAAACUUAUUUUCCAGUAGCAAGUUGGUUCCACCUUCCAUUCUCAUUGCACAAUUAGUCCCCCAUGACAAACCAUCCAAAUAUCGGUUAAAUAGUUAUGUUAUCCUCUCCAACUUUGUGAAGUUUCAUUUUGCUUCUUGACUUAGGAAUUCAAAAAUUUUAGGCAAGACAUGUUUCCAUAAGAGCACAUUACAAUAGAUUGGGGACGAUUGGAUGGACAUGUUUACCUCAAUGAGUAAGCUAUGUAUUAUGUACUAAGAAUCAAGUUUUAGCUUUCAUUCGUGUAGGAUAUGUCUGGUAGCCUGGAUUAUCCUACGUUUUACCCAAGGUUUCUUACAACAUUGUUAAGGGGUGGUGACAUCUCCAAGAGAAGUGUGGAAAUGCUUGACGAGAUGUUGGAGGAACAAAGAUGAAGGUGCCCUUAUUGAUCGAUCUUGGACAGGUAUUCUUGUUAUUUGUUUGAUUAUAUUUAAAUAUAAAUAUCAGUUUAACUGGCUUUCCCUGCUUCAUGAGAAAUUCAGCAUUUAAUGUUGUCUUCUUGCUUCAUGCAUUGAAGCCAACAUUUUUUUACUUUAAUGUCGUGUGCUAUGAUCCCCAAAUAGUAACUGAUUGGGGAUGCAUUCAGAGAUCUAGCUGAAAUGUUGACUUCUUAUUCAGGAACGUGUUUCGCUAAGCUUAAAAGUAAGUCAACCUUGUUUCGAUAGGUUACUUAAUUUCCUACUAAUAAUUAACAAAAGUUACUUAUCUUGUCGGCAAUGUGGAGGGUUACCUUCAAAAUAAUUAACUUCUAACUUUGACCAAAGGUAAAUUCAUUAUUUUAGAACGAACUUUUUUACAUUUGACUAAAACUUUUAAGCUUAGAUGAACCUGUACAAAAUGCACGGAGUUUAUCAAAUCAUUAUUCAAAAGCAAACCUCCGUAACGUAUCUGCAAAUGGCUCAUCUUUUCCGACCUACUUCUUUUCUUUAUCACUUUGUUUCUUUGUACAUAUUAAAAACAACUACCUACCCAUCUUUUUCCUCCUUUUCCUGAACUUGAUGUCAUAUACCAUAGUGCAUUACACUCUCUUUCUACUAACACCAUUGGCCUUUCCGUCGAACAGUUUUGGAAGAUGGGAUUAUCUGUUCAUUUCUGAUUAGAAGAUCAUCUUUUUUGAAGGCACUCGUAUCUGUCCAAUUCAAGCAAAUCAAGGACAAUGGACAUAUAUGAUUCUGCAAUCGAUUAUGUAAAUGAUGUAAAAAUAUGAUCUGUACGGCAUUCUAUGAUGCCAAUUGUGUAGGAAGGUGGAUUGUCUAUGCUGGGAACUUCUUGUGUCUUGGCUUUCUUCGGUCGGGAUUCAGAGUGGAUAGAGCAUCAUUUUAUAGUCGUGUCACGCAACACUGAAAGACGACACUACAGGGAGUUUAUUACUGUACUGUUUUCUCCCUGGACAGGUAGUGUAAUUUGUAAUACAACAGAAAAAAGAGAGUGAGGCAGUUGACAAACCAAUAUGCUGUAUUGGAUAGAGUGGAGCAAUACGUUGUAUAAGAUUUUAGCUUUUUUCUUUCUCCGUCCAAUUCUCUACAAAUGCUAUCAAGGUAUUAAUUAUUGGAAUAAUUCUACAUGUACAUAACCCUAAUUAUUGUAUGAG
rnacentral:lncRNA from 1 species